GCAGGCCUGGGAGAGACGCAGGGUGAGGAAGGCGGCUCUCGCCUUCCGCCGGCCCCACCCGCAGGCAGUGCCUACCACCACGGUGUCGUUCCAGCUGGUGACCGACGCCCCGAGGCCUUGCCGCGCCUUGAAGACCUGGAAGGUUUUAAAAUCACUAUUCUGGAAAUUUAAUAAAACUGCCCCCAGGGAAGGCAGCAAGGUGGCCAGAGCACGCCCGGCUCAAUCUGCAAGCGAAUGGGAAGCAGCACAAAGACAUUAAUAUCACGUUAUUUAUUAUCUCAUGGGCCAAAGGACAGUAGCUCUGCUCUUCCAGUGCUGGCUGUCCUGGGUGCCAUGCAGCCAGGCACAGAGGUGGCACCACACAGGAGGCACCUAGAGCUUCCAGGUGCAGACCUCGUCCCUGAAGACUCUGGGGAAUAAGGCAGAA